AUACGGAGGGUCCAAGCGUUAUCCGGAAUCACUGGGCUUAAAGGGUGCGUAGGCGGUCCGGUAAGUUGGGUGUGAAAGCCCUCGGCUCAACCGAGGAAUUGCGCCCAAAACUACCGGACUUGAGGAAGACAGAGGUGAGCGGAACUUGCGGUGGAGCGGUGAAAUGCGUUGAUAUCGCAAGGAACACCAGUGGCGAAAGCGGCUCACUGGGUCUUUUCUGACGCUGAGGCACGAAAGCUAGGGGAGCGAACGGGAUUAGAAACCCCAGUAGUCC
rnacentral:rRNA from 1 species